GACGAACGCUGGCGGCGUGCCUAAUACAUGCAAGUAGAACGCUGAAGGAGGAGCUUGCUCUUCUGGAUGAGUUGCGAACGGGUGAGUAACGCGUAGGUAACCUGCCUGGUAGCGGGGGAUAACUAUUGGAAACGAUAGCUAAUACCGCAUAACAGUAGAUGUUGCAUGACAUUUGCUUAAAAGGUGCAAUUGCACCACUACCAGAUGGACCUGCGUUGUAUUAGCUAAUUGGUGGGGUAACGGCUCACCAAGGCGACGAUACAUAGCCGACCUGAGAGGGUGAUCGGCCACACUGGGACUGAGACACGGCCCAGACUCCUACGGGAGGCAGCAGUAGGGAAUCUUCGGCAAUGGACGGAAGUCUGACCGAGCAACGCCGCGUGAGUGAAGAAGGUUUUCGGAUCGUAAAGCUCUGUUGUAAGAGAAGAACGAGUGUGAGAGUGGAAAGUUCACACUGUGACGGUAUCUUACCAGAAAGGGACGGCUAACUACGUG
rnacentral:rRNA from 1 species